rnacentral:rRNA from 1 species
GACGUAGGGCGCGAGCGUUUGUCCGGAUUUAUUGGGCGUAAAGAGCUCGUAGGCGGCUUGUCGCGUCGAAUGUGAAAACUCGGGGCUCAACUCCGAGCUUGCAUUCGAUACGGGCAGGCUAGAGUUCGGUAGGGGAGACUGGAAUUCCUGGUGUAGCGGUGAAAUGCGCAGAUAUCAGGAGGAACACCGAUGGCGAAGGCAGCUCGCUGGGACGGUACUGACGCUGAGGCGCGAAAGCGUGGGAGCAAACAGG